rnacentral:misc_RNA from 1 species
GGAAGGUUGGCGAAAGCAUUAGCGGGUACUGUAAACAUAAAACGUAAAGCAAAAGGACUACUUCCUCGCCCAGUUCGAGCUGGUGUAGUUGGGUAUCCAAAUGUUGGUAAGUCAUCUCUGGUAAAUCGUUUGCUGAAGCGCCGGAUGUGUGCUGCAGCCCCAAGACCAGGUGUCACCAGAGAGCUGAAGUGGGUCCGUUUUGGGAAAGAUCUAGAGCUACUGGAUUCACCUGGUAUAAUUCCUAUGAGGAUCAGUGAUCAGACAGCAGCAAUAAAGCUUGCCAUAUGUGAUGAUAUUGGAGAGAGAUCUUAUGAUGCCGCAGAUGUUGCAGCUAUUCUUGUACAGAUGCUUUCAGGGCUUCCAACUGUUGGUAAUAAAGUUCUGUGUGACCGCUACAAGAUUGAGGCAGAUGGGCGCAGUGGUAAAAUGUGUGUAUGGCAAAUUAUACCCAAAGGGUGUAUCUGAAGUAUGAGUUCCCCUGCAAGGAUUUGUUCUAUAUUUCCAUUUUGAUCUUUGUUUGUUUUGGUUGAAGAUUUGUUCAGAAGCUGGCUGUUCAGUUAUUCAAUGCGGACAAUAAUCAAGCAGCAUUUCGUAUUUUGCAAGAUUUCCGGAAAGGGAAAUUUGGUUGGAUAGCACUAGAGCGGCCACCCAAGUAGAGCUGUGCGUUUCAUACCUUGUUCUAGUGCUUUCAUGUAUAUCAGUUAAAGCUGGUGGAAAAUUCUUGGAAGCUUCAACAUAGAAGUACCUAGACGGAGAAAACCAGGAAGAAGCUGUUGGCAUCUUCACCUGCAAGCUGGAAAGGUAUAUAUACACCAUUGAACCUACUCAAUGAAGCUAACCUACGGU